rnacentral:rRNA from 1 species
UACGUAGGGGCCGAGCGUUGUCCGGAGUUAUUGGGCGUAAAGCGCGCGCAGGCGGCUUCGCGCGCCCGCCGUGAAAGCCCCCCGGCUUAACCGGGGAGAGUCGGUGGGGACGGCGGAGCUUGAGGGCGGGAGAGGUCGGUGGAAUUCCCGGUGUAGUGGUGAAAUGCGUAGAGAUCGGGAGGAACACCUGUGGCGAAGGCGGCCGACUGGGCCGACCCCUGACGCUGAGGCGGCGAAGGCGUGGGGAGCGAACGGG